rnacentral:rRNA from 1 species
AGUCGAGGGGCAGCAUGAUUGAAGCUUGCUUCAAUUGAUGGCGACCGGCGCACGGGUGAGUAACGCGUAUCCAACCUUCCGUACACUCAGGGAUAGCCUUUCGAAAGAAAGAUUAAUACCCGAUGGUAUGAUGAGAUUGCAUGAUAGCAUCAUUAAAGAUUUAUCGGUGUACGAUGGGGAUGCGUUCCAUUAGGUAGUAGGCGGGGUGACGGCCCACCUAGCCGACGAUGGAUAGGGGUUCUGAGAGGAAGGUCCCCCACAUUGGAACUGAGACACGGUCCAAACUCCUACGGGAGGCAGCAGUGAGGAAUAUUGGUCAAUGGACGAGAGUCUGAACCAGCCAAGUAGCGUGAAGGAUGAAGGUCCUACGGAUUGUAAACUUCUUUUAUAAGGGAAUAAAACCUCCCACGUGUGGGAGCUUGUAUGUACCUUAUGAAUAAGCAUCGGCUAACUCCGUGCCAGCAGCCGCGGUAAUACGGAGGAUGCGAGCGUUAUCCGGAUUUAUUGGGUUUAAAGGGAGCGCAGACGGGUCGUUAAGUCAGCUGUGAAAGUUUGGGGCUCAACCUUAAAAUUGCAGUUGAUACUGGCGUCCUUGAGUGCGGUUGAGGUGUGCGGAAUUCGUGGUGUAGCGGUGAAAUGCUUAGAUAUCACGAAGAACUCCGAUUGCGAAGGCAGCACACUAAGCCGUAACUGACGUUCAUGCUCGAAAGUGUGGGUAUC